rnacentral:rRNA from 1 species
AUGAUCCAGCACAAGAAGCUUCUUCUCCACUUGUACGCCUACCAAAACGUCCAGAAAACCCCAGAUGCUAACCAGGCAGUCAUAGUUGAGUCAAAGCACCACGAGUGUUUCGGAAUCCUCGCUGCUAAUGACUGGACCGUGUACGAUGGCCCUGGCCACAAUGCAAACCUUGUCGCGCACGCUCAUGGUUUGCACCUCGGGGCUAGCAUGGCCAAAGAGAACUGGUUCAUCUGUUUCAACAUGGUCUUCGUCGAUCAGAGGAAUAGGUUUACAGGUUCCAGUUUCAAGGUGAUGGGGGACUUUCAAGGCAUUGCCCACAACGGUGAAUGGGCAAUCGUUGGUGGGACCGGAGAGUUUGCAUAUGCACAAGGUGUCAUCGCCUUCAGGAAGACCCAACAAUCCGAGAGAAACGCUAGGAUCGAGCUUCAUGUUCGUGCUAUGUGCCUUUCCUUCUUAAGACCUCUGCUUUCUCUAGGUGACGGGAGCGCCAUCGCCAAGAUCGGCCCUUGGGGUAAAAUAAGUGCGGACUUACUCGACAUCCCCACGACACCACAGCGUCUAGAGCGCAUCACCAUCCGCCACGGUGUUGUCAUUGAUUCACUUGCAUUUUCCUUCAUUGACAAAGCUGGUGAACCAUAUAACGUUGGCCCGUGGGGUGGCCCACGUGGGGAUAACAAAGACACGAGAUCGUUAAGGAAGUCUCUGGGACAGUUGGUUUCUUCGCAGAAGAUAAUGUCGAAUAUAAUGCUAUAG